rnacentral:lncRNA from 1 species
UGUGUCUGAAGCUAAGAGACUAAAUUCUAGCUCUUCUUAGCAAAGAACAAACUAUAAAGAGAUGCAGUCUGAAGGGAAAACAAACUGUCUUUCACUAUAGCAUACUUCUGUGACCAGAUGCAUGGGGGCUUUUCCCUACACACCAAGAAAUUCUCCAGCAGACACCAACUGGGUGUCCUAUAAUUCAGUUCCAUUCUGGCACCAUCUACUUGCAGUGAGAGUCAGAUCCCACAGCUGAUGGCUCAGUCCCACAAGAUUGCCCCCAGUUCAGGUGCCAAUCACACGACUAAGGUUGUGACCUGUGCUUUUGACCAACCAACUAUAAGUUGGGGUUCCCAAGACCCCCUCCUUGGUUUCAAUUAAUUUGCUAGAGCAGCUCACAGAACACUUACUUUACAUUUACCGGUUUCUUUUAAAGGAUAUGAUAAAGGAUACAGAUGAGCAGCCAGAUGGAAGAGAUGCACAGGGCAAGUCAUGUGGGAAGGGGCGCGGAGCUGCCAUGUGCUUUCCGGAAGAUCCACCCUCCAGGCGCCUCCACAGGUUCAGCUGUCUGGAGCCUCCUGAACCAAGUUUUCUUUGGUUUUUAUGGAAGCUUUAUGACAUAGGCCUGAUUGAUUACAUCAUCGGCCAUAAGGUAUCAACGCAACCUUCAGCCCCUCUCUCCUCUCAAGAGGUUCUAAUCAUACCAUGGUCUUUCUGGUGACCAGCCCCCAUUCUGAAGCCAUCUAGGGGCUCCCAGCCACCAGUUUCCUCUUAGCAUCCAAAAGACAUUCUUUUGUCAGAGAUUACAAGGGUUUUAGGAGCUGUAUGCCAGGAACCAGGGACAGAGACCAAAUCCGUAUUUCUUAUUGCAUCAGGAUAAAACACCUGGGUUUGAAUCCAACACCAUCACCUAUUAGCAUCACCUAUUUGCUCCUGUCAUUUUCUCUUUCUGGCCUCAGUUUACAUGUUUGUAAAAUGAAGUUCUGGAUAUGAUGACCUCUUGGGUUCCCUCCAAAGAUGACUUUCCAAGAGUCUGCUGUUUUACAUGCUACCAAACGGAAGUGGAGAUCUAAAAUUUCAUGUGCUCACGGAGUGGGCCACUCCCACAAUGCCAUCUCCCCUCCCCUUGUGUGACUGUCUCUGGUGGUCUGCUCCUGAAAGAGUACACAAAGUCAGGAUGCAAAGUCCUCUCACUGGAGAAUGAAGACACCGUUCAUUCUGGUGUUUGUUCUGCGGAGCUUCCCAGAGCUGUAGUCAGUCACCUCACCCCGGUGCCAAACACUUGAUGUGCUGACUACUCCCGUGCUCUUAAUAAGCUUAUAGUCCGGAGAGAUGAUUGAAGGGCUGGGAGAAGAGGGCUGUGGAGGGACAGGACCAGCUGAGGACGUGGGUGGUCAGACUCCUAGAUUAACAAAGCCUACAGAUGCCUGUUGACAGAAGGGAAGGAGACAGGUUCUCACUGAUAGGAAGACAGCAGCAAUGCAGGUACGACUCAUGUGUCCAUUUCCUGUCAUCUGCAGGUGCUUGGUGAGACAGUGUCACCGUUCUGGGAAGAGCUAGUCUGGGAGAAGGAGUCAGGAUACUAGACCUGUCUGUGAGGCACUGGAUGACUCCAGAAGCUCAAGGAAGCUCAUGGUGAAGCCCCGAUUUGAAAUGGGACUUUGAAGAGGAAGCUCUAGGCCAGCAUGGCUCACAAGGAAGCUGGGUGGCGUUUCUCCUCCUCUCCCACCAUUGUGAAGGAUCUUCUUGCUGCUAGAGUGC